rnacentral:rRNA from 1 species
GGCUCUNUGGUCUGUAACUGACGCUGAGGCUNGAAAGCGUGGGGAGCGAACAGGAUUAGAUACCCUGGUAGUCCACGCCGUAAACGAUGAGUGCUAGGUGUUAGGCCCUUUCCGGGGCUUAGUGCCGCAGCUAACGCAUUAAGCACUCCGCCUGGGGAGUACGACCGCAAGGUUGAAGCUCAAAGGAAUUGACGGGGGCCCGCACAAGCGGUGGAGCAUGUGGUUUAAUUCGAAGCAACGCGAAGAACCUUACCAGGUCUUGACAUCCCGAUGCCCGCUCUAGAGAUAGAGUUUUACUUCGGUACAUCGGUGACAGGUGGUGCAUGGUUGUCGUCAGCUCGUGUCGUGAGAUGUUGGGUUAAGUCCCGCAACGAGCGCAACCCUUAUUGUUAGUUGCCAUCAUUCAGUUGGGCACUCUAGCGAGACUGCCGGUAAUAAACCGGAGGAAGGUGGGGAUGACGUCAAAUCAUCAUGCCCCUUAUGACCUGGGCUACACACGUGCUACAAUGGCUGGUACAACGAGUCGCAAGUCGGUGACGGCAAGCUAAUCUCUUAAAGCCAGUCUCAGUUCGGAUUGUAGGCUGCAACUCGCCUACAUGAAGUCGGAAUCGCUAGUAAUCGCGGAUCAGCACGCCGCGGUGAAUACGUUCCCGGGCCUUGUACACACCGCCCGUCACACCACGAGAGUUUGUAACACCCGAAGUCGGUGAGGUAACCUUUUAGGAGCC